GAGUUUGAUCGUGGCUCAGAUUGAACGCUGGCGGCAGGCCUAACACAUGCAAGUCGAGCGGAUGACGGGAGCUUGCUCCUUGAUUCAGCGGCGGACGGGUGAGUAAUGCCUAGGAAUCUGCCUGGUAGUGGGGGACAACGUUUCGAAAGGAACGCUAAUACCGCAUACGUCCUACGGGAGAAAGCAGGGGACCUUCGGGCCUUGCGCUAUCAGAUGAGCCUAGGUCGGAUUAGCUAGUUGGUGGGGUAAUGGCUCACCAAGGCGACGAUCCGUAACUGGUCUGAGAGGAUGAUCAGUCACACUGGAACUGAGACACGGUCCAGACUCCUACGGGAGGCAGCAGUGGGGAAUAUUGGACAAUGGGCGAAAGCCUGAUCCAGCCAUGCCGCGUGUGUGAAGAAGGUCUUCGGAUUGUAAAGCACUUUAAGUUGGGAGGAAGGGCAGUAAGUUAAUACCUUGCUGUUUUGACGUUACCGACAGAAUAAGCACCGG
rnacentral:rRNA from 1 species